CACAGAAAAUAACUAAAGGUUAUACAGUCACUGAAGGUUGACACUUCACAGUAACAACAUUAUCUUGUUAUCUUGUAUACUUAUUUCAUCUAGUAAAUUGUACUUGAUAACACUUUUACACACAAAAAUAGUUUGAACAAUCGAUGAUAGCAAAAAGACAUCAUUCACAUCCUUUUAAUCACGAGACAUUGCAAAUGCCGUCUAUGUCACUGCUAUCCCUGAAGUUGUUUGAUCCAGUGUAACAGAUAAGAGGAAUCAGACGUUUGGAAGAAAAGGAAUCGUGACAACGAAAAAAGUUUCCAACACAAUCAAUGACGAUCUGAUCCCUGGGAGAGAAACAAAGCGAAAACACGAAAACAAAGAGAACCAAGUAGUUCAUUCACAAAGAGAUGUAGUUUUAUUUCCAGAAUAGAACUCUUUUUUUUUUGUCUGCUUUGUCGUGCGCAGCAAGACGUUUGUAAGCUUACUGAGUGGGUUGACUUUGUAAAUGGGUGAGUAAGUGGGUGGGUUGAAUUAGUGAAUGGGAUGGAUGAAUGAGUGGGUUGGCCUAAACUGCCAUAGAGCCUAGAUUGAUCUUUUCUUGAGCUAAUUUAGAUAUACAUUGAUUUUUUUAAAAAUUAAAAACUCUCCUUACAUUUUAAAUACGUGGUCCAAAGACACCAAACAAGUAGAUUAAAAAAAAAAGUUUUAAUGAAUAUUACAACAUAAUAAAAAGUCUAAAAUAUUUUCUCAGAACUUUUGAUUUUAUCAAAGGGCGUAGGUGGGAAUCGAUGUAGACAAAAAUCUACACACACACACACAGAGAAUGAGAAAGAAAGACAAAAAGAGAGA